rnacentral:SRP_RNA from 1 species
CAGUGGCCCCCUCACGACGAUAAGCUGUGAACCCCGUCAGGUCCGGAAGGAAGCAGCGGUAGCGGUGAUUUCGGGCGUCGAGGUGUGGCUACGGACU